UACGUAGGGUGCGAGCGUUUAAUCGGAAUUACUGGGCGUAAAGUGUGCGCAGGCGGCAGAGCAAGUCGAGUGUGAAAGCCCCGGGCUUAACUUGGGAAUUGCGCUCGAAACUACUUUGCUGGAGUGUGGCAGAGGAAGGUGGAAUUCCACGUGUAGCGGUGAAAUGCGUAGAGAUGUGGAGGAACACCAAUGGCGAAGGCAGCCUUCUGGGCCAACACUGACGCUCAUGCACGAAAGCGUGGGGAGCAAACAGG
rnacentral:rRNA from 1 species